rnacentral:rRNA from 1 species
AUGAAUAUUUCGAACAAUCACAUGAGGAAGUCCUUGAGAAGGAUAAACAAUGAAGUUCCUAGAAGGAGCAAGAGACAAAGGAUUGCAAAAUCCUUUGGUGAUGAUUUCAUUGUAUACCUUGUGGACGACACACCCAAGACGAUUGCAGAAGCAUAUGCAUCUCCGGAUGUAGAUGAUUGGAAAGAAGCUGUUCGUAAUGAGAUGGACUCAAUUCUUUCUAAUGGAACUUGGGAACUAACUGAUAGACCAUAUGGUUGUAAACCUGUGGGCUGUAAGUGGGUGUUCAAAAAGAAGCUAAAGCCUGAUGGUACUAUUGAUAAGUACAAGGCGCGGCUAGUGGCCAAGGGCUACACUCAGAAAGAAGGCGAAGAUUACUUUGACACCUAUUCACCCGUUGCUAGAAUGACCAUCAUUCGAGUGUUACUUUCCUUGGCUGCCUCUUAUGGUAUUAUCAUUCAUCAAAUGGAUGUAAAGACAGCUUUUCUCAAUGGAGAGUUGGAAGAGGAGAUCUAUAUGGAUCAGCCUGACGGGUUUGUGGUAAAGGGUGAAGAGAGAAAGGUGUGCAAGUUGUUAAAAUCUUUGUAUGGUCUGAAACAGGCACCUAAGCAAUGGCAUGAGAAGUUUGAAAGAACUCUGACUUCUGCAGGAUUUGUCAUUAACGAGGCUGAUAGGUGUGUUUACUAUCGCCAUGGUGGGGGCAAUAGUGUCAUAUUAUGUUUGUAUGUGGACGACAUACUGAUCUUUGGUACAAAUAUUAAUGCAAUUAAUGAGGUCAAGUCUUUUCUAUCAAAAAGUUUUGACAUGAAAGAUCUGGGAGAAGCCGAUGUAAUUCUAAACAUCAAACUUAUUAAGGAUGAGAGUGGGAUUACAUUAACGCAAUCUCACUAUGUUGAGAAGGUCUUGAACCGAUUCGGUUUUAUGGAUAGCAAGCCUUCUCCAACACCUUAUGAUCCCAGCGUGACACUCAGAAAGAACAAGAAAGAAACGAGAGAUCAAUUAAGAUACUCUCAAAUUGUCGGUUCACUCAUGUACUUAGCUAGCGCUACAAGACCAGAUAUCUCUUUUGCUGUGAGCAAACUGAGUAGGUUCAUGUCCAACCCGGGUGAUGAUCAUUGGCAUGCACUAGAAAGGGUCUUGCGCUAUCUGAGAGGUACUAUGAGUUACGGAAUUACUUAUUCAGGGCAUCCUGCUGUGCUAGAAGGAUAUAGUGAUUCAAAUUGGAUCUCCGAUGUUGAUGUACUUUACGCAACAAGUGGGUAUGUAUUUACUCAUGGUGGUGGCGCAGUGUCAUGGAGGUCUUGCAAGCAAACCAUAUUGACGAGGUCAACUAUGGAAGCAGAAUUAACUGCUUUGGACACAGCUACUGUUGAGGCAGAAUGGCUGCGUGAGCUCUUGAUGGACUUGCCGGUUGUUGAAAAACCUGUACCGGCUAUUCUUAUGAAUUGUGAUAACCAAACACGUGAAAAGACGUUUGAAGUCUGUCAGGAAGUUGAGAAACUCCGGAGUAAUAACUGUUACGUAUAUACAAACAGACAAAAACCUGGCAGAUCCCUUUACAAAGGGACUAUCACGAAAUGUGAUAGAUAUUGCAUCGAGGGAGAUGGGUAUGAGACCCAUAGCAGUCUUGAAAGAACACACCUAUAUGAGUUCUGA